GGAGAAGCUUAUAAAAACCAUAAAGGAAAUGAUGUGGCACCAAGGCAAACAGGUGCUUCUUGCAGAUGUAAUUCGAAGUGUAUGGAGCUUGUAUCUGAAGAUGUUAUAGAAAGUACAAUUCAGUUUGUUAACAGAUUUGAUAGUAAAAAUGCCCAAGACACAUACUUGCAGUCAUUAAUUGAAAA